AUCAGAUACCGCCCUAGUUCUAAACCAUAAACUAUGCCAGCCAGCAAUCCGGCUGUGUUCCUCAAAUGACACGCCGGGCAGCUUCCGGGAAACCAAAGCUUUUGGGUUCCGGGGGAAGUAUGGUUGCAAAGCUGAAACUUAAAGGAAUUGACGGAAGGGCACCACCAGGCAUGGAGCCUGCGGCUUAAUUUGACUCAACACGGGAAAACUUACCCGGCCCGGACACAGGAAGGAUUGACAGAUUAAGAGCUCUUUCUUGAUUCUGUGGGUGGUGGUGCAUGGCCGUUCUUAGUUGGUGGAGCGAUUUGUCUGGUUAAUUCCGAUAACGAACGAGACUCUAGCCUACUAAAUAGACGGUUUCCGUUCUUGGAAUAGACGGACGUUUUCUUCUUCUUAGAGGGACAGGCGGCUUUUAGCCGCACGAGACAGAGCAAUAACAGGUCUGUGAUGCCCUUAGAUGUCCGGGGCCGCACGCGCGCUACAUUGAAGGAGCGAGCGUGUGCUUUCCCGGUCCGACAGGACCGGGUAACCCGUUGAAUCUCCUUCGUGCUGGGGAUAGGGGCUUGGAAUUGUUCCCCUUGAACGAGGAAUGCCCAGUAAGCACGAGUCAUAAGCUCGUGUUGAUUAAGUCCCUGCCCUUUGUACACACCGCCCGUCGCUACUACCGAUCGAAUAUUUUAGUGAGGUCUUCGGACUGGCGCCCGGAAUUGGUCUUCGUGAUCGAGCCGGCUGGUGCCGGAAAGAUGACCGAAC
rnacentral:rRNA from 1 species